GGACACUGUACCCAGACCAAUAAGAUGAGAUGAAGUGGUCUGGGUGCCUACAGAGUCCCUUUAAUUUCUAAAUGUAAUUAGAAAUCUUCAUCCGGUCAGUUUUGCUUUCCAUUUUCUUAUAUUGGUUUUAACUUUAAACAUCAUGUUGAAUUCCAACCAAUCCUCACUUUAGAGAAUAAUGCUGAGAAAAUGACAAUUAUUGUGAGUGGAUUGUUACAGGGAACCUUAUAGACAUCAGGGACAAUACCAAUGUACACAUCACUUUCUGAUCAGGUGUUCCUAUUCAUAUUAAGUACGGAUGACUAAGGGUUAAAAAGAAUAGAUGGUAAUUUGCUGCAUAUUUACUACACUGUUAGGGUGUUGGGGAUAGGGUGGUAGUGUUAGAAUUAGGGUAGAAGUGCUAGGAUGGGUUAAAGUUGUAGUGUUAGGAUGGGUUGGAGUGUUAGGGUCAUGAUGGGUUGGGGUGGUCGGUUUAUGAUGGGUGUAGGGUGGUAGGGUUAGGGUUAAGGUGGUAGGAUUAGGAUGAGUUAGAGUUAAGGUGUUAGGGUUUUGGAUAGGUUAGGGUAAAGGUGGAAGGGUUUGGAUGGUUUAUGGUGAUAGGGUUAUGAUGGGUUAGAGUGG